UACGGAGGGUGCGAGCGUUGUCCGGAAUCAUUGGGCGUAAAGGGCGCGUAGGUGGCCCGGUCAGUCCGUGGUGAAAGCGCGGGGCUCAACCCCGCGUCGGCCAUGGAUACUGCUGGGCUGGAGCACUGUAGAGGCAGGCGGAAUUCCGGGUGUAGCGGUGGAAUGCGUAGAGAUCCGGAAGAACACCGGUGGCGAAGGCGGCCUGCUGGGCAGUUGCUGGACACUGAGGCGCGACAGCGUGGGGAGCAACAGG
rnacentral:rRNA from 1 species